rnacentral:lncRNA from 1 species
UAAGAUAGCAAGGCAGUGCAGCCUGAGUGGAUAGGAUAAUGGGACAAGCUGGACCUGGGAUGAGAGUAACAAGUACAUGAGAGAGGAAAUGAGAAUGAUGAGUUCCCACCAGCUCCUUGGCUGCUUUCUUACCCAUAUAUUUCUCUGUCCCUAGAUGUUUGUUUUUUUUCUUCAUUCGUAUAUUAUUUGGAAGAGGAAUUGUAGAGGAACAGCAUGGAGUGUAAUACAGAAUCAUAUUUCAUGCAUGCUAACUACUCGGGGAAAAGAUUUGUAUAAGCCUGGGAGUUUGACUGUUGGCUAAAGUGAAAUGGAGGGAUUAGUAGAGAAUGAAAAUUGUUCAGGCUGUUUGCUCGUCAUUGGAAAGAAUUGGAUGUGUUGUGAACCUAGGAAAGCGCUCACAUUCAGUCAUCCCCCUGUUUGGGAUAGGUUUGAGGAACUACUGGCCAACCUACUAAAUGAACAACAUCAGAUAGCAAAGGAACUAUUUGAACAGCUGAAGAUGAAGAAAUCUUCAGCCAAACAGCAGAAGGAGGUAGAGAAGGUUAAACCCCAGUGUAAGGAAGUUCAUCAGACCCUGAUUCUGGACCCAGCACAGAGGAAGAGACUCCAGCAGCAGAUGCAGCAGAAGCUUGAGAAGUCAUCAUGUUCAUAUCCUGUGGCUCAGGGAGGAGAGCACAUAAGGACCCUAAUGGUAUUCGGAAUUACAGAUUUCAAAGGGUCCUCAGUAAUCUAUUCUGAAAGUGUUUUCCUUUUCCUUUUCUUUUCUUUUCUUUUUUUUUUUUUUUUUUUUUUGAGAUGGAGUCUCGCUCUGUUGCCCAGGCUGGAGUGCAAUGACUCGAUCUCAGCUUACUGAAAGCUCUUCUUCCCGGGUUCAUGCCAUUCUCUUGCCUCAGCCUCCCGAAUAACUGAGGCUACAGGCACCCGCC